rnacentral:rRNA from 1 species
AUUGAACGCUGGCGGCAGGCCUAACACAUGCAAGUCGAACGAGUGGCGGACGGGUGAGUAAUGUCUGGGAAACUGCCUGAUGGAGGGGGAUAACUACUGGAAACGGUAGCUAAUACCGCAUACCAUCGGAUGUGCCCAGAUGGGAUGAGCUAGUAGGUGGGGUAAAGGCUCACCUAGGCGACGAUCCCUGGCUGGUCUGAGAGGAUGACCGGCCAAACGGGAACUGAGACACGGUCCAGACUCCUACGGGAGGCAGCAGUGGGGAAUAUUGCACAAGGGGGGAAAGCCUGAUGCAGCCAUGCCGGGGGUAUGAAGAAGGCCUUCGGGUUGUAAAGUACGUUCAGCGGGGAGGCGUUACCCGCAGAAGAAGCACCGGCUAACUCCGUGCCAGCAGCCGCGGUAAUAC